AUGACGCAGACUGGGACAUGUUUUGGCGCUCUGAGAUCGUGCAUCGCUGCCUACAAUGAAGGGCUCAUCUCCGGUAUUAUGGACCUAUACAAGGCUGCAUCUUACAAUGUGUGCAGCGUGGUCAGAAAGGCAAAGCAGAGCUACAGGGAAAAACUAGAGUCACAGUCACAGUGCAACUCUAGGAGCCUGUGGAAGGGACUGCAGACAAUAACGGACUACAAACAACCAGCUUCUUCAGUGAUGAAUGCCAGCACUUCACUGGCUGUUGAGCUGAACACGUUUUAUGCUCGCUUCGACACUGCAGCAAUUAAAACAACAAAAGUCUGCACGUGCACGGAGUGCACCAGUGAAAACAAUGCCUUCAUCAUCACAGAGGAUGCUGUGAGGAAAGCUUUCAGGAGAGUGAACAACAUGAAGGCAGUAGGACCAGAUGCAAUCCCUGGUCGGGUUCUGAGAGCCUGCGCUGACCAGCUAGCACUGGUGUUCAUGGAGAUCUUCAACCUCUCCCUGGCCCAAGCAGUGGUUCCCACGUGCUUCAAAGAGUCCAUCAUUGUCCCUGUCCCAAAGAAACAACAGCCCGCUUGCCACAAUGAUUACCACCCACUAGCACUGACUUCAAUUGUGAUGAAGUGUUUUGAAAGACUGAUGAGAGAUCACAUCACUUCUUCACUUCCUGCCACCAUCGACCCACUUCAGUUUGCAUACCAGACUAAUUGUUCCACAGACGAUGUCAUAGCUCACCUGCUCCACACAUCCCUGAGUCACCUGGACACUGGCAGAGGGAAUUAUGUUAGGAUGCUGUUCGUGGACUACAGUUCAGCAUUCAACACAAUAAUUCCCUCUAAGCUUUUCACCAAGUUGAAGGAUCUAGGACUCAGCUCACCACUGUGUCAGUGGAUCCUCAACUUCCUCACAGACAGACCCCAAUCAGUGAGGGUGGGAAAACAAGUCUCCCCCUCCAUCUCACUCCAUCUCACUCAGGGCUGUGUUUUAAGCCCCCUGCUGUACUCACUGUACACUUAUGACUGUGUAGCCACAUCGGACACAACCUCCAUUAAGUUUGCUGAUGACACUGUUGUUAUGGGCCUGAUCUCUGACAACAUCAAGAAGGCCUACCUGGAAGAGAUUAUGAACCUGGAGACCUGGUGCCAGGAGAACAACCUCCUCCUAAAUGUCAGCAAGACAAAGGAGCUGAUCACUUCAAAGCAGGCAAGGAAUUAUGAGCCCCUGAUCAUCAAUGGCACGCCAGUGGAGAGAGUAGACAGUUUCUGGUACCUGUGUGUCCACUUCACUCAGGACCUGUCAUGGUCCUGCCACAUUAACACCCUGGUUAAGAAUGCCCGCACACAUCACAUCACUGUAGGACUGGACUCCCUCACACACAUCACAUUACCACAUGCACUUUGGGGUUUUUUGCACAUUUCUUAUAAUUUAUGA
rnacentral:lncRNA from 1 species